rnacentral:rRNA from 1 species
UACGUAGGGUGCAAGCGUUAAUCGGAAUUACUGGGCGUAAAGCGUGCGCAGGCGGUGAUGUAAGACAGGUGUGAAAUCCCCGGGCUUAACCUGGGAACUGCAUUUGUGACUGCAUCGCUGGAGUGCGGCAGAGGGGGAUGGAAUUCCGCGUGUAGCAGUGAAAUGCGUAGAUAUGCGGAGGAACACCGAUGGCGAAGGCAAUCCCCCUGGGCCUGCACUGACGCUCAUGCACGACAGCGUGGGGAGCAAACAGG